AAGACAGACCCCACACGACGAGCUAUAAGACAGACCCCACACGACGAGCUAUAAGACAGACCCCACACGACGAGCUAUAAGACAGACCCCACACGACGAGCUAUAAGACAGACCCCACACGACGAGCUAUAAGACAGACCCCCACACGACGAGCUAUAAGACAGACCCCACACGACGAGCUAUAAGACAGACACCCACACUACGAGCUAUAAGACAGACCCCACACGACGAGCUAUAAGACAGGGACAGGGUUUAUGAGGGGGCUUAUAUGGUAACAAUAUCAGACAAAGAGGGUGUGUGUGUGUGUGCGUGUGUGUGUGUGUGUGUGUGUGUUUGUGUGAAUGCGUGAAUGUGUGUGUGUCAGACCUGGUUUCAAAUACAAUUUCAAAUAUCUCAAUUACUUUCACAUACACGUACUUUCGAAGUAAGUAUUCAGAUAUAUUUUAUUUGAAAAGACAAGUAGUUGAAUAUUAUAUUGUAUUUGGAAAUAAACUUGGAAAGUAUUUGAUAAUACUCCAACACACUCCCAUGCAUUUAACUCAAAUACAAUUUGGUAAACUAUUUGCUUUUUCCAAAUAACUAUUAAAAUACUCAAAUAAAAGUACUUAUUUUGGACUGUGUAUUAGAAAAUACUCAAAUACACAGGAAAAGUAUUUUAAAUACCCGAUACUCAUGUAUUUGAACACAGGUCGUGUGUGUGUGUGUGUGUGUGUGUGUGUGUGUGUGUGUGUGUGUGUGUGUGUGUGUGUGUGUGUGUGUGUGUGUGUGUGUGUGUGUGUGUGUGUGUGUGUGUGUGUGUGUGUGUGUGUGUGUGGUGUGUGUGUGUGUGUGUGUGUGUGUGUGUGUGUGUGUGUGUGUGUGUGUGUGUGUGUGUGUGUGUGUGUGUGUGUGUGUUAGGAGGGUGGUGGGGGAGGUGAGAUGAUACAGGGUUAGAUGUAUAGAGAAAACCAAAGAGAGAGAGAGGGAGAGAGAGAGAGAGAGAGAGAGAGGCAAGUUGUAUUCUGGGUAAUGGGUUGAGUAACAAACACCCCUAAACAUUUUUUUUUUGAAAUAAACUGAAAAUAAAAACAGCAAUUUACUUAGCUUCGACCUGUCCAGUCUUCUGUGAGCUGAGUAGUCUGGUGUUGGCAGGGGGAGGGAAUGAGAGAGGACAGUAGGAAAGCAGGAGGAUGAGGAAGGAAACAAUCGACGUUAAGAGCAUUGGGACAAAGUCCUACAUUUGCGUCUGUUGUUGUUGAUGAUGAUGAUGUGCCUUUGUUUACCUUCUCUGGCAUCACAGAGUGUGUUUUUUUUUUAAAUGUUAUUAUUGUGAUGAAGAUUCAUGUUCACGUGGUUGGUUUUGUGUUUGUCUCUUUAAUCAGUUUCUUAACUCUUGAGAGAAUAUGUGGCUGCCUAUUUUGGAUGUGAUGUAAACUCUCCGCUGUGUUAAGAUGAUCCUCAUGUUUUAAUAGUCAUGGAUUCUUCUCCAUUCUGUGGGUCAAACUGUUUUUAUUUCAUAUAUUGUAUCCCGGUGACAUCACAAACUGCCAUAACUUCACCUAAUAUGUCUUAUAGAGUACAAUUACAGUACUAUUGAAAUACUUGUUGUAAUAACAAACACCAUGGUAGACGAACAGUUAGGUGAUUGCAGAAUUUCUGGUACAGUACUACCAUUCCGUUCUGUCCAGCUGAGCUAACGUGUGUGUGUGUGUUUUAGUAAAGGCUGGCCGUUGAUUCAGGUGCUAAAACAGUGUUUCUGUUCCUUGUUUUCAUGUGUACAAACUCUUCCUGUAUUCCCUGAUGUCUAAGCCAAUCACAGUACAGAACUACACAUCCGUAGUCAUUCAGCUGCCCACUCACAACACUGAAGUCUCCUAUGCAACAUUUACCUAAAUAUUGUGUGUGUGUGGUGGGAACUGCGAGGCUGGAAUAAAAGGCAAAACAGCCAGGGUCGACAGGAGGGGAGGGAGAGUGGAGGAGUAAAGAGAGAGAAAAGAAGUGCAG
rnacentral:lncRNA from 1 species